rnacentral:rRNA from 1 species
ACGGGAGGCAGCAGUGAGGAAUAUUGGUCAAUGGUCGGAAGACUGAACCAGCCAAGUAGCGUGAAGGAUGACUGCCCUAUGGGUUGUAAACUUCUUUUAUGCGGGAAUAAAAAGGAUUACGUGUAGUCUGUUGCAUGUACCGCAUGAAUAAGGAUCGGCUAAUUCCGUGCCAGCAGCCGCGGUAAUACGGAAGAUCCGAGCGUUAUCCGGAUUUAUUGGGUUUAAAGGGAGCGUAGGCGGGCCUUUAAGUCAGUGGUCAAAGCGUGUGGCUCAACCAUACCACGCCGUUGAUACUGGAGGCCUUGAGUGCACAUAAGGAUGGUGGAAUUCAUGGUGUAGCGGUGAAAUGCUUAGAUAUCAUGAAGAACUCCGAUUGCGAAGGCAGCUGACUAAUCCGCAACUGACGCUCAGGCACGAAAGCGUGGGGAUCGAACAGGAUUAGAUACCCUGGUA